UUCGCAAUGCCCGAAAGGGUGACGAAGCGACGCCGCGUGUGGGAAGAAGGCCUUCGGGUUGUAAACCACUGUCGGGAGUUAAGAAAUGCAAGAAUGUUAAUAGCGUUUUUGCUUGACUAAGGCUCCGGAGGAAGCCACGGCUAACUCUGUGCCAGCAGCCGCGGUAAUACAGAGGUGGCAAGCGUUGUUCGGAAUUAUUGGGCGUAAAGAGCACGUAGGCGGCUAUAUAAGUCGGUUGUGAAAGCCUUCCGCUCAACGGGAGAACAGCAUCCGAUACUGUGUGGCUUGAGUGUGGGAGGGGAGAGCGGAACUUCUGGUGGAGCGGUGAAAUGCGUAGAUAUCAGAAGGAACGCCGGCGGCGAAAGCGGCUCUCUGGCCCAUAACUGACGCUGAGUGUGCGAAAGCUAGGGGAGCAAACGGGAUUAGAUACCCCGGUAGUCCUAGCCGUAAACGAUGGGCACUAAGUAGAGGGGUUU
rnacentral:rRNA from 1 species